rnacentral:rRNA from 1 species
AGAGUUUGAUCCUGGCUCAGGAUGAACGCUGGCGGCGUGCUUAACACAUGCAAGUCGAACGGGCUCCUAUUGAAACCUAGUGAUGGAUGAGCUAGUGGCGGACGGGUGAGUAACGCGUGGACAACCUGCCGUAUACUGGGGGAUAACACUUAGAAAUAGGUGCUAAUACCGCAUAAUCGCACAGCUUCGCAUGAACCUGUGUGAAAAACUCCGGUGGAAUACGAUGGAUCCGCGUCUGAUUAGCUGGUUGGCGGGGUAACAGCCCACCAAGGCGACGAUCAGUAGCCGGCCUGAGAGGGUGAACGGCCACAUUGGGACUGAGACACGGCCCAAACUCCUACGGGAGGCAGCAGUGGGGAAUAUUGCACAAUGGGGGAAACCCUGAUGCAGCGACGCCGCGUGAGUGAAGAAGUAUUUCGGUAUGUAAAGCUCUAUCAGCAGGGAAGAAAAUGACGGUACCCUGACUAAGAAGCCCCGGCUAACUACGUGCCAGCAGCCGCGGUAAUACGUAGGGGGCAAGCGUUAUCCGGAUUUACUGGGUGUAAAGGGAGCGUAGACGGCAGCGCAAGUCUGAAGUGAAAUCCCAUGGCUCAACCAUGGAGAUGCUUUGGAAACUGUCAGCUGGAGUGCAGGAGAGGUAAGCGGAAUUCCUAGUGUAGCGGUGAAAUGCGUAGAUAUUAGGAGGAACCCCCGUGGCGAAGGCGGCUUACUGGACUGUAACUGACCUUGAGGCUUGAAAGCGUGGGGAGCAAACAGGAUUAGAUACCCUGGUAGUCCCCCCCGUAAACGAUGAUAACUAGGUGGUGUGGGGCCACGGUCCUUCGGUGCUGGCGCAGCCCGCAUUAUAGUAAUCCCCCUGGGGAGUAGGUUGUGCGCGAAAGAAACUCAAAGAAUAGACGGGGACCCGCACACGCGGUGGAGCAUGUGGUUUAAUUUGAAGCAACGCGAAGAGCCCUUCCUCGUCUCGACAUCCCGAUGACGCGGUGCCAAAGUCACUUUCCUCUUGGGGCACAGCAGACAGCUGGUGCACGGUUGUCGUCUCAUCGUGUCGUGAGAUGUUGGGUGGAAGUCUCGCACCGAGCGCACCCCCUAUUUCCACUAGCCCGCACGUAGAGCUGGGCACUUUGGAGAGGCUGCCCGGGACAACCGGGAGGAAGGCGGGGAUGACGUCAAAUCAUCAUGCCCCUUAUGAUCAGGGCUACACACGUGCUACAAUGGUGGAAACAAAGGGAAGCGAGCCGGUGACGGUGAGCCAAUCCCAAAAAAACCGUCCCAGUUCGGAUUGUAGUCUGCAACUCGACUACAUGAAGCUGGAAUCGCUAGUAAUCGCGAAUCAGAAUGUCGCGGUGAAUACGUUCCCGGGUCUUGCACUCAACGCCCGUCA